GGCAGGGUAGCUCAGCUGGUUAGAGCGGAGGAUUCAUAACCCUCAGGUCGCCGGUUCAAGCCCGGCUCCUGCUACCA
rnacentral:tRNA from 1 species